AUACGGAGGAUGCAAGCGUUAUCCGGAUUUAUUGGGUUUAAAGGGUUCGUAGGCGGAAAAUUAAGUCAGUGGUGAAAGCCUGCAGCUCAACUGCAGAACUGCCAUUGAUACUGAUUUUCUUGAAUUUAUAUGAAGUGGGCGGAAUGCGUCAUGUAGCGGUGAAAUGCACAGAUAUGACGCAGAACUCCAAUUGCGAAGGCAGCUCACUAAUGUAAUAUUGACGCUGAGGAACGAAGGCAUGGGGAGCGAACAGGAUUAGAAACCCUAGUAGUCC
rnacentral:rRNA from 1 species